GACGAACCGCGCGAGCGUUGUUCGGAAUCACUGGGCUUAAAGGGCGCGUAGGCGGUCUUGCAAGUCCUGUGUGAAAUCCCUCGGCUCAACUGAGGAACUGCACAGGAAACUGCUUGGCUUGAGUUCGGGAGAGGGAAGCGGAAUUCCGGGUGUAGCGGUGAAAUGCGUAGAUAUCCGGAGGAACACCGGUGGCGAAGGCGGCUUCCUGGACCGACACUGACGCUGAGGCGCGAAAGCUAGGGGAGCAAACGGG
rnacentral:rRNA from 1 species